CACGGCGCUCGUCCAUCUGUCCCAGGCAGCUGUCCUGCACAAAAUCCCAGGUGUUUCCUGUGCCGUGUGCUCCUGGGGGACAGUUCUGUGCUGUUGUCCAAGACUGAGCACCAAGAUGUUUCCUAUUACCAUCCGAGUAGCAGUUGCAUCUGGACAGUUUUCCUUAUCUCCUGUUAAUGACCCAUCAAUGUCUUGCCACAUGACUCAGAGAUAACACUCUCCAGGAGCCAGUUCUGUUUAACAGGUGAUUAAGAACACACCUUGUGACUCAAAAUAACAUCAGCCCAUUGUGAGAUGCUCCGCCCAGGGGGAGAAGCUAGGCAUUCCCACCUGGAUAAAUCCAGGGAUUUCUAGACAGAAAGGCAGCCUUUCCACAGGUUUCCGAGAAGACACAGCAACCACAUCUGGCACUCCAAGAGGACUGCAGCCACUCCAAUUUGGACUGCUACCAGCACGCUGGCCAAAGCGGGUGUCAGGUUGUAUUCUGACUUUGCCAGUGGUCUUCCUUUUGUAUCAUUGUGUGUAUUUUUGUCUUUUGUUUUCCCUUUUCCCAAUAAAUUGUAUUUCUGA